AAUGAAAAAAGGCAAACCAUCUGAAAGGAUGGGACGCAAAGCUUUGGGUCUAAAGUAUUAUUACUAAGAUUGCCAGGCCACCAUU
rnacentral:ncRNA from 1 species